rnacentral:rRNA from 1 species
AGAGUUUGAUCCUGGCUCAGGACGAACGCUGGCGGCGUGCCUAAUACAUGCAAGUCGAGCGAAUCGAUGGGAGCUUGCUCCCUGAGAUUAGCGGCGGACGGGUGAGUAACACGUGGGCAACCUGCCUAUAAGACUGGGAUAACUUCGGGAAACCGGAGCUAAUACCGGAUACGUUCUUUUCUCGCAUGAGAGAAGAUGGAAAGACGGUUUACGCUGUCACUUAUAGAUGGGCCCGCGGCGCAUUAGCUAGUUGGUGAGGUAAUGGCUCACCAAGGCGACGAUGCGUAGCCGACCUGAGAGGGUGAUCGGCCACACUGGGACUGAGACACGGCCCAGACUCCUACGGGAGGCAGCAGUAGGGAAUCUUCCGCAAUGGACGAAAGUCUGACGGAGCAACGCCGCGUGAACGAAGAAGGCCUUCGGGUCGUAAAGUUCUGUUGUUAGGGAAGAACAAGUACCAGAGUAACUGCUGGUACCUUGACGGUACCUAACCAGAAAGCCACGGCUAACUACGUGCCAGCAGCCGCGGUAAUACGUAGGUGGCAAGCGUUGUCCGGAAUUAUUGGGCGUAAAGCGCGCGCAGGUGGUUCCUUAAGUCUGAUGUGAAAGCCCACGGCUCAACCCGUGGAGGGUCAUUGGAAACUGGGGAACUUGAGUGCAGAAGAGGAAAGUGGAAUUCCAAGUGUAGCGGUGAAAUGCGUAGAGAUUUGGAGGAACACCAGUGGCGAAGGCGACUUUCUGGUCUGUAACUGACACUGAGGCGCGAAAGCGUGGGGAGCAACCAGGAUUAGAUACCCUGGUAGUCCACGCCGUAAACGAUGAGUGCUAAGUGUUAGAGGGUUUCCGCCCUUUAGUGCUGCAGCUAACGCAUUAAGCACUCCGCCUGGGGAGUACGGCCGCAAGGCUGAAACUCAAAGGAAUUGACGGGGGCCCGCACAAGCGGUGGGGCAUGUGGUUUAAUUCGAAGCAACGCGAAGAACCUUACCAGGUCUUGACAUCCUCUGACAACCCUAGAGAUAGGGCUUUCCCCUUCGGGGGACAGAGUGACAGGUGGUGCAUGGUUGUCGUCAGCUCGUGUCGUGAGAUGUUGGGUUAAGUCCCGCAACGAGCGCAACCCUUGAUCUUAGUUGCCAGCAUUCAGUUGGGCACUCUAAGGUGACUGCCGGUGACAAACCGGAGGAAGGUGGGGAUGACGUCAAAUCAUCAUGCCCCUUACGACCUGGGCUACACACGUGCUACAAUGGAUGGUACAAAGGGCUGCAAACCUGCGAAGGUAAGCGAAUCCCAUAAAGCCAUUCUCAGUUCGGAUUGCAGGCUGCAACUCGCCUGCAUGAAGCCGGAAUCGCUAGUAAUCGCGGAUCAGCACGCCGCGGUGAAUACGUUCCCGGGCCUUGUACACACCGCCCGUCACACCACGAGAGUUUGUAACACCCGAAGUCGGUGAGGUAACCUUCAUGGAGCCAGCCGCCUAAGGUGGGACAGAUGGUUGGGGUGAAGUCGUAACAAGGUAACC